GACGAACGCUGGCGGCGUGCCUAAUACAUGCAAGUCGAACGAGAGCGACCGGUGCUUGCACUGGUCAAUCUAGUGGCGAACGGGUGAGUAACACGUGGGUAACCUGCCCAUCAGAGGGGGAUAACAUCCGGAAACGGAUGCUAAAACCGCAUAGGUCUUCGAACCGCAUGGUUUGAAGAGGAAAAGAGGCGCAAGCUUCUGCUGAUGGAUGGACCCGCGGUGCAUUAGCUAGUUGGUGAGGUAACGGCCCACCAAGGCCGUGAUGCAUAGCCGACCUGAGAGGGUGAUCGGCCACAUUGGGACUGAGACACGGCCCAAACUCCUACGGGAGGCAGCAGUAGGGAAUCUUCCGCAAUGGACGCAAGUCUGACGGAGCAACGCCGCGUGAGUGAAGAAGGUUUUCGGAUCGUAAAACUCUGUUGUUAGAGAAGAACAAGUGCUAGAGUAACUGUUAGCGCCUUGACGGUAUCUAACCAGAAAGCCACGGCUAACUACGUG
rnacentral:rRNA from 1 species